rnacentral:piRNA from 1 species
UCCUUUGUUUGAUCCGGAUGGAAACCAUGG